rnacentral:lncRNA from 1 species
UGUCUCAAGGGAGCUGUUCUAAACAGAUUUCCUUCCAUAAGAAAAAAGAAACUGCUGGAUGGCAUUGCUCAGGAUCCUAUUAGAGCCUGGGGGUUCAUGGACAUGAAGAAUGCCAACCACUUGGCUAUGAAAUAGAAUGGAAAUUGGGAGAGGAAAAAUCUAUGGGAAUCUGAGGCUCCGAGAAGCAGAGAAGAGAAGGAUGAAGAAAAACUUCAUAUUCUGUUCCUGGAGCAUCAGCUCCACAGUCCUAAUGACCAUUUUUCAAGGGCCAAACAAGAGAAAAUGGAUUCUUCCUGCAACAGCAGGCUUUGAGACAACGAUCAAACAACUUGCUGAUUGGGGUGGUGGUAGGGAUCAGCAAUAAAAUGAGCUGCAAAGC